UUUUUGAUGAUGACAAAAACAGUAUAUAAACGACAGAGUUUAGAUCACAUCAUCAAUUCAUUUCAACAUGCCGACUCCAGAGCAAGAUUUCCUCAUUUUACUCACCUUCGCUUUUAAUUUUAUUGUGAACAAUCUUGGAGGCAUUAUAAAAAUGCUCCAAGGUAUCACCCCUAUUGCCCAUGCUCUUAAUCCUGCCGCGAAUCCUCUAGCUGCCGGGCUGCUUGGAUAACAGUAAACAGAUUUUUAUUGUUUUGAAGGAAAUAAGGAAAUCAUUUACAAUAAUCUUACCAUGACAAAAUAAUGAAAGAAGAGUAAAAAAAAAGUGGAUGAAAUUAUAAAUAAUGCACCAUAUUGAACUUUUGGAAUUAUUGAUAUCUUGAAUUCAGAAAUCGAAAAUCAUUUCAAUACAAUUAGUGGUGCUGACAAAAGAUUCUAUUCAAUGGUACUUUGGAUGAAAAGAAAUGCAGAUUAUCAUAAAUGUUAUGCCAAUUAUUUAAUACAACGUAAAUGUUCCUUCAUAACGAUAAAAAUUGCUGUUCUCCAAGCAAAGUUAAUAAAUAAAUACAUAAUAUAAAAUGAAAAA